rnacentral:rRNA from 1 species
UACGUAGGGGGCAAGCGUUGUCCGGAAUCAUUGGGCGUAAAGCGCGUGUAGGCGGCCCGGUAAGUCCGCUGUGAAAGUCCAGGGCUCAACCCUGGGAUGCCGGUGGAUACUGUCGGGCUCGAGUCCGGAAGAGGCGAGUGGAAUUCCUGGUGUAGCGGUGAAAUGCGCAGAUAUCAGGAGGAACACCGGUGGCGAAGGCGGCGACCUGGGUAGAUACUGACGCUGAGGUGCGAAAGCGUGGGGAGCAAACGGG